rnacentral:pre_miRNA from 1 species
UCAUAAGGAUGAGCAAAUAAAGUGGUUUCUUGAGAUGGAAUCUACUUCUGGUUAAGAUGUUAUUAA